GCAACAGCACAGAGCAGCCAAACAGCCUUCCAAACAGCCAGGGCCGCUACUCUGUUUAGGGGGCGGCUGGGCGUACUGUGGGGCAUAAGCAGGAGGAGGAGGACCAUAUCCCGGUGGUGGAUAUCCCUGUGGAGGAUAUGCCGGUGGCGGAUAAGCAUCUUUGGGAUACCCUUCUGGUGGAUAACCUAUAUCAAGAAAUCAAUUCAUACACGGAAAUUAGAACCAAAACCUCAUCAAUAAUAACAUCAGAUCUAAUUGAUCCCAUCAAGUAAUCCAACACUAACAAAAACAAAACAAAACCCUCAACUUCCUAACAACUUAAGAACAAGAACACCACAAAAAAUUGGAAAAUAAAGAAAAAGAAUCAACUAAUACUAGUGAAACAAGAGACCCAAAAUCUUUAAUGCAAGAAGAAGAAAGAAUUGAAAGUGGGUUUACCUUGAGGAGGUGGGACACCG
rnacentral:misc_RNA from 1 species